UACGUAGGGUGCAAGCGUUAAUCGGAAUUACUGGGCGUAAAGCGUGCGCAGGCGGUUGUGUAAGACAGAUGUGAAAUCCCCGGGCUCAACCUGGGAACUGCAUUUGUGACUGCACAGCUGGAGUGCGGCAGAGGGGGAUGGAAUUCCGCGUGUAGCAGUGAAAUGCGUAGAGAUGUGGAGGAAUACCGAUGGCGAAGGCAGCCCCCUGGGAUAACACUGACGCUCAUGCACGAAAGCGUGGGGAGCAAACAGG
rnacentral:rRNA from 1 species